rnacentral:lncRNA from 1 species
AGAGUACCGGUCCUCGUAUGAGGUGAACUUCUUGCUGAGGUAAUAAAUGGCCAGCUCCUUCCUCUCUAUUUCAUCAUGUUUCCCCAGGACACAACCGAAAGCUCCAUCCAUUACGUCAAGAUAGAGUAAUAGAGGUCUAUCUAGCUUUGGUGGGAACAGUACUGGUGGUGCUGAUAGGUACUCCCUGAUUGGGUUGAAAGCUUUUUGACAUCAGUCCAAUUGGCAGCAGCAUCAUUCUUCAACAUCUUAAUGAUCGGCUCACAGAUGACAGUGGAUUGUGA